ensembl:lncRNA
CAUUUCACACCUGUACUCCAAAAACGAGCCAGCGCUGCCUGUCCGCUGAAACAUCACGGGAGCGAUCGGAACGUCGCUCAUUCCGCUCGGCCGCGAGUAAAACCGGGGUGUGAACGACGACGGCGAACGAGUGUCACAAGACGGCGCCGGGACAGACGGACAGACGGGGGGCGGAGUCCGGGGCGGAGACGCAUCGCCAAGGGUAGGAUUACAGACGGCCUUUGAGAUACCAGGGUCAGUAACGGGACACGUGGAAACUGAUGCUCCGUGGGAACACAGAAUGACUCGCAACGACUGUACUCCAGAUAGGCUUUGCUUCAUGGUGUAACUGCAGGUGAAGCGCGUCGGGGAUAUGCAGCUGCCUGGGUGUCUAUUUUCAUCCCCUCCGUGUUAAAUAAUGCAGAAGACUUGUAGUACAACCCGAUCCCUCAGUCACACAGUGCAGGUAUUCGGUGAGAGCUGAAAGAUCAAGACGCACAGAACAAUGCGGCACGCAGAGCUAAAAAAGGGCUGACGUAUGAACAGUGAGUCUG